rfam:Salmo salar isolate Sally breed double haploid chromosome ssa03, whole genome shotgun sequence.
UGCAUUCACUACUGUAAGUCGCUCCGGAUAAGAGCGUCUGCUAAAAUGACUAAAA